UGCGGGAUGGGGUACUGGUAGCCCAAAGGUCUCAUAAGCCUUGCAAGCGAGUUCGAUUCUCGCUCCCGCAACCA
rnacentral:tRNA from 1 species